AACAGAUAUGAGCACUAGAUCUCAUCGUGGCCGUCGUGGAGGUUCUAGCAGUGCGGCAUCAUCCCGUGCAGCAGCAUCCCGUGCAUCAUCACCCCGUGCAUCAUCGACUCCAGAUGUAGAGUUAGAGCAAACAACAUCUGAUGCAGUCUCAAACAAUGAUGGAAGGAUACCUCUUUCGAGGACGCCUGAAGGGGGGUUGGUAUUGCACAAGGACUUCUCCAGGGUAAUUGGCAAAUCUUUUAGGAGGAUUCCAAACCUGACAGGUAUCAAUUGGAAGGCUACUCCAGGCGACGUCAAGGAUCUAUAUUUUGAGGAGUUUCGGGUAAGCACUUUUUUGCAUAUAUUCACUACUUGACAUCACAUUUAAUAGAAAUUGCAUGAUUGCUCAAUUUGACCAAUAUAUGUUUUAAUAGAAAUACUACUCAUGGGAUGAGAGAUGGGAGGAUGAAGUACGCCGGCUUUGGAAAAAUAGGGCGGGUAGCAGGUUUCCUGACUUUCUAUAUGAGGUCAGAGCUUGUAGGAAACCCGAUGAUAAAGGGAAGUCGGGUUACAUAUGUGAUGAUCAAUGGAAGGCAUUAUGAACAUAUUGGGAUACUCCUGAGGCCAUCCAGAAGUCUAAACGUGCAAGCAAGGCUAGAUUGUCUGAGCCAGAUGGACCCGGCACUGGAAUAAGCAAACAUCGGGGUGGCUCGAAGUCUGUUGCUGUGAGAGCUCAUGAGAUGGCGAGAGUGAAGGCGAUUGCCGAGCAGCAAGGAGAGAGUGCUGAUUUGAGUCAGAUAUAUGUGGAUGAGGUGAUGGGAGGUCGCCUCGAUAAGAAGAAGAGGAUGUUCGGCACUGGUACUCUUGCACGGAGUCUCGUGGGCGGUACAUCAUAGACUUUCCAUUCACAGCAGGUUGAUGCUCGAAUUGAAGAGCUACAGCAGCAGCUUCAGGAGGAGCGCGAGUAUAGACAGCAGCAGCUUCAGGAGGAGCGGGAGCAUACACAACAGCAGCUUCAGGGGGAGCAUGAGCAUACACUCCAGCAGCUUCAGACGGAGCAUGAUCAGAGAGUUCGAUUGGAGGAGUCACUUAGGGUAACUAAUGAGAUGCUCCAGCAGUUCUUGAGGUCCCAGCAGUCGAGGAGUAGUGGCUCAGGAGGUUCUUAGCUUUUGUGUAGUAUGUUUGGUACAUUUUGAUACAUUAUUAUGAUAUUUCGCUUAGAUGUAGUUUAUUUAGUACUUUUUAUGUUAUUGUGUUAUUUACAUAUAAACAUAUUGUUGGAUAUUGAACAAUGUCGAAUGAAUUUUAAAUUAUGUUUAGAUUA